GGAGGUCUCACCCACCACCCCAAACACAUCUGAUACCCAGAGACUGUCCCUCUCCUUCUCAUUAGCCUCCCAUGGCUCCCUAUUACCCUUGGGAUCAAGUCCAAGCUCCCCAGCCUGGCCUCUGAGCCCUUCUGGAGUUGGAAUUUGCAUCUUAUCUGCCGCCCCGCCCUAUCGCACCCGACACCAGAGUUGUACUUACGGUCCCCUGGAGCCCGCUGGAUUCUCUCGCCCUGUCCUCAGGAAAUGUGUGUGGAAUGAGACUGACGGAUGGCCGGGGUGCACUUGUAAUGGCGUCGUAAAUCCCGCGUGAUUAACGAUAAUUAUAGCAGCAUUUACUGAACUCUGUGUAUUACCAGCCCCUGUGCUAAUCCUCACAGCAGUCGGGAAAGGUGAGCCCUUCUGACCGGAACAGGUGGGCUUCUGCUCAGGCUCAGCCAACGGGAAGCAUCACUGGUGGAAGGUGAUUGGAAGGUCCCACAUAUGAGUGCCAUCACCUGUCUUGCUCUGCCUGACUUAUUUCACGGGGCAUAACGCCCUCCAGGUGCAUUCACGUUGUCUGAUUUGGAAUCUUAAUGCCACGUGCAGUGUCCCCUUCACAGCAGCACCUAUGUGAGCUUGGGGAGGAGGCGUGUGUGCCCCGGGGUGGGGGUGGGGGAGCAGGAAUCUUGGGAGCCAUCUGAGAAUUCUGCCCUACAACGAGGGAUCGAGGGAUCGGUGGAGACGGGAGGAGGUAGGGAGGGCCUCCUAGGGGAAGCAUAAAGGGAAAGACAAGGGAGUCAUCCCAGGCAAAGAGAAGUGUCCAUCCAAGGCCGUGAGAUGGGAAGGCUGGCAGGUGCCGCGAGCUUGCAGAGCUGUUCCGGGGAAAAGAGCAGCCAGUGCACUGGAGAAUGGGCGGGAUAGUAAAUAGUAGCUACAAUUGUUACUCUGAUACUAGAAGUCUGGAGGCGGCCAGUCUGGGAGGACUCGCUUUCUCUCUCUGGCACCCCCCCCUCCCGGUGACCUUGGGUGGGUCACUUCUCUCUCCCUGGCUCCACGUCUGGUGCCGGCAAUGCCUCUCUUCCCCCCGCCCCCCCCCCUCCUUGAGACAACAGAGCUGAGUCGGGAGGAGGGCACAAGUUGGGCACAGCCCCAGCGGUGGGAAAGGAGGGCGGCCGGGGCUCGGGAAGCUGGGUGAGUGGCAGCAAAUUUGUAUGUGGUGCAGGUCUGUGCCAGGCACAGUGCUGGGCGUGGUGAGAUAAGGGGCCCAGGAAGAGCCCGGACUUGGCCUCUAGGGCUGAAUUCCAAACCGCCCCCCAGGAGGCCGGGAGCAGGCAGUGGAAACCGCCCACCGUGGGCUUGGUGCCCGGAGGAAGGCAGAGCCUCCACGGUCCCGGAUGCCUGUGGGUCGGCGGCUUGGAGCCUGGGAGCCUCAGAGCCCCUCUGCAAGGGGAGGGCGUCCCUGCUCCCGACUCGUGUGCUGGGUCCCCUGGCUCCUAUGGACCACAUCUCAAAGUGCCCCUCCUCGGAAGCCCUCCAGGACCACCGAGCCAAAGUCACAGCUUGAGCCAGAAGCCCCUGCUUCUCCAGCAGCACCGCCUUAUUCUUUCUCUCUCUCUUUUAAAUGUUUAUUUAUUUUUGAGAGAGAGAGAGAGAAAGAGAGAGAAGGAGACCCAGAAUCGGAAGCAGGCUCCGGGCUC